rnacentral:rRNA from 1 species
CUACGGGACGCAGCAGGCGAGAAAACUUUGCAAUGUGCGAAAGCACGACAAGGUUAAUCCGAGUGGUUUGUGCUAAACGAACCUUUUGACAGUCCUAGAAACACUGUUGAAUAAGGGGUGGGCAAGUUCUGGUGUCAGCCGCCGCGGUAAAACCAGCACCUCAAGUGGUCAGGAUGAUUAUUGGGCCUAAAGCAUCCGUAGCCGGCUCUGUAAGUUUUCGGUUAAAUCUGUACGCUCAACGUACAGGCUGCCGGGAAUACUGCAGAGCUAGGGAGUGGGAGAGGUAGACGGUACUCGGUAGGAAGGGGUAAAAUCCUUUGAUCUAUUGAUGACCACCUGUGGCGAAGGCGGUCUACCAGAACACGUCCGACGGUGAGGGAUGAAAGCUGGGGGAGCAAACCGGAUUAGAUACCCCGGUAGUC